UACGGAGGAUGCGAGCGUUAUCCGGAUUUAUUGGGUUUAAAGGGUGCGUAGGCGGACUGUCAAGUCAGCGGUAAAAUUGAGAGGCUUAACCUCUUCCCGCCGUUGAAACUGGUGGUCUUGAGUGGAUGAGAAGUACGCGGAAUGCGUGGUGUAGCGGUGAAAUGCAUAGAUAUCACGCAGAACUCCGAUUGCGAAGGCAGCGUACCGGCAUCCAACUGACGCUGAGGCACGAAAGCGUGGGGAUCAAACAGG
rnacentral:rRNA from 1 species